AGCAAAGCGUUGUGCUUCUCUGAUAAGGAAGAGGUCCCUGGUUCGAGUCCAGGCAGGCCCA
rnacentral:tRNA from 1 species